rnacentral:rRNA from 1 species
AUUGAACGCUGGCGGCAUGCCUUACACAUGCAAGUCGAACGGUAACGGGCCUUCGGGUGCCGACGAGUGGCGAACGGGUGAGUAAUACAUCUGAACGUUCCCGAUCGUGGGGGAUAACGCGGCGAAAGCUUUGCUAAUACCGCAUACGAUCUACGGUUGAAAGCAUGGGACCGCAAGGCCUUGCGCGGGCGGGGCGGCCGCUGGCAGAUUAGGUAGUUGGUGGGAUAAAAGCUUACCAAGCCGACGUUCUGUAGCUGGUCUGAGAGGAUGAUCAGCCACACUGGGACGGAGACACGGCCCAGACUCCUACGGGAGGCAGCAGUGGGGAAUGUUGGACAAUGGGCGCAAGCCUGAUCCAGCCAUGCAGCGUGCAGGAUGAAGGCCUUCGGGUUGUAAACUGCUUUUGUACGGAACGAAAAGCCUUCUUUUAAUACAGGAGGGUCAUGACGGUACCGGAAGAAUAAGCACCGGCUAACUACGUG